rnacentral:lncRNA from 1 species
UCACUACCAGGAAUUUUAAUGGUUAAAAAAAUUAUUUUCUUUUUGCGAAAUAUUCAUGGUUCUUCAACACUCUCUAGACACAACAGCAAGGCUCCCUGGCCCCAGUACUGCAAAACAAACCAAAAAAAAAGUACAGGUCCUUAGUCAGCCCUCAAACACCUCAAGAAGAGGUAUAUAAUUCCAUCAUGCAUCAUACCUCUGUGCCUGUUACCUUCACAAAAGGCAACAAAGAACUAUAGUCAUUCUUCCCUCUAUUCUAGUCCCUCAGGCAGGGAAUAGGUUGGGUUUUACAUCCAUGUGCAGUAUUAUAAUUUUAUGCGGAAGCAGAGCAGACAAGAGAUUGUCAGGUCUGAAAUAAAGCAAAAUUCUAUAUGCCUUAACAGUGGGCCCCCUAAAUACACAGUCAAUAUUGUCCUCAUAUUAAGGUCAUUUCUUUCACACAGACAUUGAAGGUACUAAUCUACUCUGAAUGUCAGCUACAUUCUUGCAAAAAAAAAAAAAAAAAAAAAGGAAAGGACAUUGAAUGAGAAAAUGCAAGAAGUGUAUGUUGCAUAGAGCCUAAAUCUUAACUGAAGUCCUUCUGUUUUGAGGUACUUGAAUCACAUUAUGUACACCAUUCAAUACGAAACUCCUAAGUAAAAUAACAGGAUACCAUUUUCAAAAUCUUAAAGCAACAAACUACUGAUGACUAGAAUUAGAAAAGCAUGCUUCCAGAAAGGUGACUAAAUACACCCCCCCAACACAAAGGGGCAACGGUCAAAGACAAGACUGGAAUUGGGCCUUGCGAGCUCUGCCUGGCAACCUUGGCUGUGGAGGCCACAGUGGACAGAGUUACCCACUCUCUUCUGGGCUUGUUCCCACCAUCUGUGGGGUGGGUGUAUAGGGCUGGGGCUAAGCCAGCUUCAGAAGCCCCCCAACCACCACCACACCAUCAAGUCUCUCAAGUGGGACUGCUGUGCUGUGGCACGCACACCCACACACAAGUUGCCAACAGUUUGGAAGUUAGCCCCAGUUUCCAAAUAUGUCAACCCAAAAGCCAUUCAGGUAAAUAUAAGUGGGAGCCACUACAAAGUGGGACUUUAUCAGGCAGAUACAGAGAACCAAAAAAUGAAGUUGCUGAAAGCUGCUGUGGAGAUUUAAGUCUUUUGUUUUUAACGGAGGAAGAUAAUGAGGCCCAGGAACACAGCUUCCUAGAGUAAGACAGUGUUCCGUCCUGGCCUCCAGGAUGUUCAACACCUAUCCCAAGCUUCUGAGCAUUCUGUCCUCACUGGCUUCUCUCAGUGCUAUUUCCAAAUAAUCUAGAUUGCAAGUUAUCACAGGCCACAUUCCUGAAAAAACACAGAGCAAUCCUGCUGACCCACUUCAGGGAAGCCCUUUCAUAACAAAGUUACCCAAAUCUUCUGGAGGGGUUUAAUGAGCCCAGGUUAUAUAUAUUUAGUGAGUUUCAAACACUCGCCAGGCACUUUGAAACACAGUUCCUGAAUGUAGGUGUUAACUGUAAGGCUGUGAAGGGCAAUGAUCAAAGACAAAAGCACUUGCUUUCAUGAUUUAAAUAAGACAUCCUAACCAGAUUUUCUAAAUCACUAUAUACUUCAAUGGAUACCAAGCACUGAGGUGGGUCCCCUAGGGCAGGGGUCCCCACCUGCUGGCUGCGGAGGGGUCAGUGGCCCAUUAGGAACCAGGCCGCACAGCAGGAGGUGAGCAGUAGGCGAGCAUUCCCGCCUGAGCUCCACCUCCUGUCAGAUUAGCAGCAGCAUUAGUUUAUCAGAGAAGCCGGAACCCUGUUGUAAACUGAGUAUGCAAGGGAUGUAGGUUGCCAGCUCCUUAGGACAAUCUAAUGCCUGAUGAUCUGAGGUGGAACAGUUUCAUCCUGAAACCAUCCUCUACCUCCUUCUAUGGAAAAACUGUCUUCCACAAAACUAGUCCCUGGUGCUAAAAAGGUUGUGGACUGCUGCCCUAGGGCACUGGCUCUCAAACCUGACUGCUCGUUAGAAUCCCCUCAGAAUCUUUAAAAAAUAGUGAUGCCUGGGCCCCACCCCCAGAGAUUUUGAUUUCAUGAGGGAUAUGGCCUGGGCAUUAGUUUUUUAAAUACUGAUGGUGAGUCUAAUAUACAACAGUUUGAGAACCACUGCUGUAAGAAACAAACAGAAACAUAAAAAGUGGAAACAACUCAAAUGAUCAUCAACUGGAUAAAUAAAAUGUGGUAUAGCCAUACAAUGGAAUAGUAUGCAGCCAUAAAAAGGAAUGACGCUAUUGAUAUACGUUGCAACAUUUUUAAACCUUGAAAACAUAUUGCUGUGAAAGAAGCCAGCAACAGAAGGAUAAAUACUGUAUGAUUCCAUUUACAUGCUAUUCCAUUUACAUGAUAUGUCCAGAAUAGGCAAAUCCAUAGGUACAGAAAAUAACUGAGUAGUUACCAGGGGCCAGGAGAGUUGAGGGGAAAUGGGAAGUGACUGCUAAUGGAUAUGGGGUUUCUUUUGAGGGUGUUGAAAAUUGAUUACAGUGAUGGUUGCAUAACUCUAUGAAUAAACUACUAAAUUCAUAGGGUUGCAUAACCCUGAAUUAGAUUAAAUGGGUAAAUUGUAAGGUACGUAAAUUGUAUCUUACUUUAAAAUACAUAUAUAUCUAUAAAUUCUAUCUACUAUAGAGGAAAAAAAAACAGAUACAUAAGUAAGACAAGUAUCAACAGAGAUUUAAAAUGCCAUUAGAGAGGAUCACCUAAGUAAUACAGAAGGUAAACACUAUAAACUCAGAGGAGGCAUCAAAGCCUAAGUGAUCCAUAUUUUUCUUUUCUUACUCAUUUUUCUUCUCUGAUUUGAAAAAGCAAUAGAGUUCAGAGCUUGUCAGUGUACAGCUGAUAAUACAGGCCCUAAAGUCUCAGUUCUCACCUUAUUUGGAAUGGCUAUUUAGCAUUGUCUUAGAAUUAAAAACAAAUAUUCAGAAUACAGGCUGUUGAUGGACUGUAAUGACUCUCAAGAGUCAAUUAUCAACAGAGCCUUUGAAAGAUGGACUUGGAGGUCAGGCGCAGUGGCUCACGCCUAUAAUCCCAGCACUUUCGGAGACCAAGGUGGGCACAUCACCUGAGGUCGGGAUCAGCCUGGCCAACAUAGUGAAACUCCAUCUCUACUAAAAAUACAAAAAUUAACCGGGCGUGGCGGCACACACUUGUAAUCCCAGCUACUUGGGAGGCUGAGGCAGGAGAAUCGCUUGAACUCGGGAGGUGGAGGGUGCAGUGAGCCCAGACUGUACCAAUGCACUCCAGCCUGGGUGACCGACUGAGACUCUGUCUCAAAAAAAAAAGACGAACUUGGUGCUGUAAGUCCUACUUAUGCCCUGGACUUGUCUUUACUAGUACCAGCAGUUUGGACCAAAUAAACUUACAUGCUCAAAUACACAAAAAGACUUUUAAAUACCAGGAUUUGCAACACACAGGUAUUAUAGUACAUAUGCCGUAAAAACGAAUGAUUAAACGUGCCUCCCCUACUCAAAGUUCUUAAUAUACUUAAUAAUCAUAGUUAAGAGUUAUUUAUUAUGGCAGAAACUGACACACAGAAGGCUCAAACUUUAGGUAGCACAGGAUUUUGUUUAACAGUCUUGUUUUCAUGUCUAGGGUAUAGUCUGGUACAAGAAAUCCAUCUAGGCCAGGCGCGGUGGCUUAAGCUUGUAAUCCCAGCACUUUGGGAGGCUGAGGCAGGCGGAUCAUGAGGUCAGGAGAUCGAGAUCAUCCUGGCUAACACAGUGAAACCCCAUCUCUACUAAAAAUACAAAAAAUUAGCCAGGCGUGGUGGCGGGUGCCUGUAGUACCAGCUACUCGGGAGGCUGGGGCAGGAGAAUGGCGUGAACCCGGGAGGUGGAGCUUGCAGUGAGCGGAGAUCAUGCCACUGCACUCCAGCCUGGGCGACAGAGCAAGACUGCGUCUCAAAAAAAAAAGCCAUCUGUAUUUCUCCAAGUUUCUGAAUGUUAAUAUUUAAUAUUAUACACUUGAACAUAUUUUUGCUUUCAUUUACAGAAAACAUACCAUUAGCAAUUGAAUAAAUCUUGGCCUAUACCUUAAAGCCCUUUUAAUAAAUGUUUGUUGGCGCUUAUUUAAAAGCAGGUAGCAGUGAAAUUUCAAUAGCUCCUAGAAAUUAGAUGAUCAAAGAAUAAACUCUAUUCUCUAUUUGUGGCAAACUUAUAAUGAAUAUACAUUUCUACAGUCAGAGAUGAAGACAAGCAGGUUAAAAAUGACAUCUAGUAAACUUGUCCUCCUCUACCCUGCUGUGCAACAUAUUUCAGUCAACUUUCAGAAAGUGGCUGGACCAAGCAUUUAAAUGCCCUGAGGUUGACCUGGACCAACUUUUAGGCAAAUCAUCCAUCAGAUCCUAUAAGUCCUGCAGCACACUUAAUUCAGACAAAUAAGACAAUAAUUCCAAAAACAACUUAACAAUAAGGACUAAGAAAGUGUUUAAUUUUGAGAUGUACUAUUCUCAAAGACCCAAGUAAGCUUCAACUAGAUAAGAGUUGAGCCCUUAUGCUUGCUAUAGUUCAGAAGUGCCAAAACAUGAGAUUAGGGUUGAAUUUGCGCCAUCAGCUUUCUGCUAGCUGUUUUCAACUCAAAUUUUCCCCAUUCUGCUCUCUUUCCUUCAGCCUGGUUUAACCCUGUCUGUCACACUCUUCACCAUAUUCUUACUACCAAACUUAUUUUUGAGCACUACUUCAAAACAAAAAGAGCCAAUGGAACAGAAGAAAUGUACCAAGUAGCAAGGCAAACAAAGGCAAAGACUCCAGUAGCUAAGAGAUUUAAUUAAGAAAAAAGGCAGUUUCUGAAAAAUGUGAGGCAGAAUCUUGGACAUUGCCAAACAUCAGAAAUUUUUAAAACUAUUAUUAUAUUAAGAAACAGACUGGCGCAGUGGCUCACACCUGUAAUCCCAACACUUUGGGAGGCCGAGGCGGGUGGAUCACCUGAGGUCAGGAGUUCGAGACCAGCCCAGCCUGGCCAACAUGGUAAAACCCCAUCUCUACUAAAAAUACAAAAAUUAGCCGGGCAGUGGGUGCCUAUAAUCCCAGCUACUCGGGAGGCUGAAGCAGGAGAAUCACUUGAACCCGGGAAGUAGAGGCUGCAGUGAGCCAAGAUCAGGCCACUGCAUUCCAGCCUGGGCAACAGAACAAGACUUCAUCUCAAAAAAAAAAAAAAACAAAAAACAAAAAACAGUCCUGCCUUUCUAAAUUGAAUCCACCGAGGCCUCUGUGUCUUCCUUAAAAGGACCACAGUGGGUACCAUUGAUGGAUUGUAUUCACUCUCCCUGUAUUUAACAAGGUCCACCUCCCCACGUCACAUACAGUGAUUAAAUGUCUUGCUAAAUGGAAAAGCUGCAGACAUUAAUCUUUUAUAUUCCGGCCUCUCCUUCCCCCAGAAUAGGCAAAUCUCAACUUACCCACUUUUUAAAGUGUGAGCUUUUCUUCCUAUUUAGAGUUUAAGGAGUUUUGGUACAGUCUGGAAGUGGUGAUUAGAAGCCCCCAGGAGUCAAACCUGUUUGAAUGCUACCUUGGCCACUCAAUAGUAUGGUCACCUUAGCAGGUCCUGGCCUUUCUCUAUGCCUCUCUCCUAACCUUUCCUAACCUAAUGCCUGAUCUAACUAUUAUGCCUGGUUUUCCCAACCUGGAAACCAGGGAUAAUAAUAUUUCCCGUGAGGUUACUGUAAAAUUAUGCAUGUGAAGCAAUUAUGUCUGGCACCCAGGGACGUGCCCAGUAACUUAUCUAUUAUUAUCUUAGUGCCAAAUUCUUCCUGCAUACUGAAAAGUUAACCCAGGCUUGAGGAACAGUUAAGGAGGAAAUAUUGACACAAAACCCCCUUUAAAUGUCUUCAGUCAGGACAGAGGAAAUUCCCAGAAAAAAAAAUGUACUUGUUGGGUUCCUUUUUUUCAUGCAGCUUUGUUAAACAUGAUUUAUCCUCAAUAAAAACAAAUAUUAAGAAAAAUGAUGCAUUUGGCUUUCAACUUUUCCUGGUAAUCCUAAAGACAGAGUCAGUUUUCCCCCCAACAUUGCUUAUAAGAACCCAGGGCAAGAAAGAAAGAUUUCAAAAUGGCCCAAGUUAUUUUUAAUGCGUAAAAGACUGAUGUGAGUUAUGCAUUUAUCCUCCUACAUGCUGCUUCCACAACCUCUCAAGAGAUUUUUCACAUAUCUAAAAAGUCAAGUUGUUCUUUGCUUAACAUUCAUUCAGGAGAUGAGAGGCCUGUCCUAUUUUUCUUUUGUUUGACUUAAAAAUAAUCUCAUCGGUCUAUUUCAAUAUCAACUUCAUCCCUCAUCUAGGAAAGUGCUUUAUCUCUCCAAGACACCCUUGAAAAGAGUAAUGGAUGGUUCCUUCCACCUAAUGGAGAUACUGAAUCUAAGGCUCUCCUUACUGCCCUGUUUAUCAACACAUCCUCUGCACAGAAGGUGAAAAACUAUAUCCUACUACCACUUCACACCUGGAGAGUUUUUUUUGACAAAAGGUCAAGAAAAUGUUUGACUCUGUUCAAAUCUUUAUGGAUGACAACAAUCUAAUAUGAAUCAUAAACAAAAUCAAUUCUAAAUUU